CUACCGUUCUGCCUCCGACCGGUCGUGUGUGGGUUUACUCGGAGGUGCUUUGCCUCUGAAGAAAAGAGGCGGGUGGACGGGGUGGGGGGGGGGGUGGGAGGCGGGGGCUUGUGGAGUUGCGCUCACGCUCGCACCUGCCGGUCCCCGCCCUGACCGCGAACGCUCAAGGUUGCCGCACGCAGGUUUUUCCUGACGGAAUGAAGUUGAUAAUAGUGAGACCUUGUUGGUACAAGACUAUGUAACAUAACCUGCGCUUCUCAACAAAGAAUUGCUUUUCUGACUUCUGCACUCAAUAGCAAGACAAAUCUCUCCUCUGCCUUCUCCUUAUCAGACUACUCAACAUGAAGGCAAUAAGAAUGAAGACCUCUAUGUAUAAUAAUUGACUUCCACUUAAUAAAUAAGGUUACUUGGUACACUGGUCGACAAAACCUUGAAAUGUUGAUGUUUAAGGGCUGUUGAUUGCUGGCAGCAAAGAAGUCCAACUGUGCUGGUACCCGAGAUAGCGUCUCCACAUUUUCUUCCAGGAUCAUCACCUUUGUUCUAAAUAGCUCCCACAUAGUGUGAACAGAAGUCAUAUGUUUUAGAUUUUCUGCCUUGGCACCCAGG
rnacentral:lncRNA from 10 species